GAUGAAGAACGCAGCGAAAUGCGAUAAGUAAUGUGAAUUGCAGAAUUCAGUGAAUCAUCGAAUCUUUGAACGCACAUUGCGCCCGCCAGUAUUCUGGCGGGCAUGCCUGUCUGAGCGUCAUUUCAACCCUCAUGCCCCUAGGGCGUGGUGUUGGGGAUCGGCCAAAGCCCGCGAGGGACGGCCGGCCCCUAAAUCUAGUGGCGGACCCGUCGUGGCCUCCUCUGCGAAGUAGUGAUAUUCCGCAUCGGAGAGCGACGAGCCCCUGCCGUUAAACCCCCAACUUUCCACGGUUGACCUCAGAUCAGGUAGGAAUCCCCGCUGAACUUAAGCAUAUCAAUAAGCGGAGGA
rnacentral:misc_RNA from 1 species